rnacentral:piRNA from 1 species
UCAGAUUGAUUUGUCCAAAAA